rnacentral:rRNA from 1 species
GGGUUGUGAGGUUAAGCGACUAAGCGUACACGGUGGAUGCCCUGGCAGUCAGAGGCGAUGAAGGACGUGCUAAUCUGCGAUAAGCGCCGGUAAGGUGAUAUGAACCGUUAUAACCGGCGAUUUCCGAAUGGGGAAACCCAGUGUGACUCGUCACACUAUCAUUAACUGAAUCCAUAGGUUAAUGAGGCGAACCGGGGGAACUGAAACAUCUAAGUACCCCGAGGAAAAGAAAUCAACCGAGAUUCCCCCAGUAGCGGCGAGCGAACGGGGAGGAGCCCAGAGCCUGAAUCAGCAUGUGUGUUAGUGGAAGCGUCUGGAAAGGCGCGCGAUACAGGGUGACAGCCCCGUACACAAAAGCGCAUGUGCUGUGAGCUCGAUGAGUAGGGCGGGACACGUGGUAUCCUGUCUGAAUAUGGGGGGACCAUCCUCCAAGGCUAAAUACUCCUGACUGACCGAUAGUGAACCAGUACCGUGAGGGAAAGGCGAAAAGAACCCCGGCGAGGGGAGUGAAAAAGAACCUGAAACCGUGUACGUACAAGCAGUGGGAGCACCCUUUGGGGUGUGACUGCGUACCUUUUGUAUAAUGGGUCAGCGACUUAUAUUCUGUAGCAAGGUUAACCGAAUAGGGGAGCCGGAGGGAAACCGAGUCUUAACCGGGCGUUAAGUUG